GACGAACGCUGGCGGCGUGCUUAACACAUGCAAGUCGAACGGUGAAGCUCCAGCUUGCUUGCUUUGAUCAUUGGCGAACGGGUGAGUAACACGUGAGCAACCUGCCCCUUUCUCUGUAAUAUGCCCUGGAAACGGCGUCUCAUACUGGAUCCGAUAUAUUUCCCCAUGUGCACUUUUUGUAAAGUUUUUCGGUUGGGGAUGGGCUCGCUGCCUAUCCGCUUGUUUGUGAGGUAAUUGCUCACCAAGCCUACGACGGGUAGCCGGCCUGGGAGGGCUACCGGCCACACUGGGACUGAGACACGGCCCAGAAUCGUACGGGAGGCAGCAGUGGGGAAUAUUGCACAAUGGGCGAAAGCCUGAGGCAGCGACGCCGCGUGAGGGAUGACGGCCUUCGGGUUGUAAACCUCUGUCAGAAGGGAAGAAGAGAAAGUGACGGUACCUGCAGAAGAAGCACCGGCUAACUACGUG
rnacentral:rRNA from 1 species